GUACUUAAGAACAGGCAAGAAAACAAGAGAAGGGGACCAUUCGCCCCAAGACAAGCAAAACAGGGCACCACAACCAAGCAUGCAACGCAAAGAUAAAGCAUCAUAAAAACCGCAUGCGGCACAACCAACAACGCAACCAAGACAGAACCAUAAAACCCCCACAACUCAUAAAUCACGCCCCUCCCCCACAGAGAAAAACAUGCACUGUCCUCAGGGCACAAAAAGAAAGAGAAAGUUUAAGAACAUCCCUGGAUAGGAGUGCAACCAACACGGCGACGGCGGUAGAGAGGGCGGCGACCACAACCUGUAAAACGAGCAACCAGAAAAACCCACAAAAGAAGACAGCAUAAAACAAGAAAGAAAAGAAAACAAAGAAAAAGGAAAUAAAAAAUGUACAAAAGUGGGUAAAAGGAAUGCUCAGUUGGGGCCCCGAGGGGGGCCCGGGGGAGGGUGCCAGAACUGGUCCUGGUUCUGCAAAGAGAAGGCGGCCCACUGUCUCUCUAGGUCGGCGAGGUAGUAGUUGGUGUCGGUGAGUCCCUGGUUG
rnacentral:lncRNA from 1 species